GAUCCUGGCUCAGGAUGAACGCUGGCGGCGUGCCUAAUACAUGCAAGUCGAACGGAAAUUAACGCUGAGGCGAGCUUGCUCAAUCUUGUUAAAUUUAGUGGCGGACGGGUGAGUAACGCGUGGGUAACCUGCCUUACGACUGGGGGACAACAGUUGGAAACGACUGCUAAUACCGCAUAAGCGCACAGAAUCGCAUGAUUCAGUGUGAAAAACUCCGGUGGUGUAAGAUGGACCCGCGUCUGAUUAGCUAGUUGGUGAGGUAACGGCCCACCAAGGCGACGAUCAGUAGCCGGCCUGAGAGGGUGAACGGCCACAUUGGGACUGAGACACGGCCCAAACUCCUACGGGAGGCAGCAGUAGGGAAUAUUGCACAAUGGGGGAAACCCUGAUGCAGCAACGCCGCGUGAGUGAAGAAGUAUUUCGGUAUGUAAAGCUCUAUCAGCAGGGAAGAAAAUGACGGUACCUGACUAAGAAGCCCCGGCUAACUACGUGCCAGCCGCCGC
rnacentral:rRNA from 1 species